UACGUAGGCAGCGAGCGUUGUUCGGAGUUACUGGGCGUAAAGCGCGCGUAGGCGGAUCGCUAAGUCAGGGGUGAAAUCCCAGGGCUCAACCCUGGAACUGCCUUUGAUACUGACGAUCUGGAGAUCGGGAGAGGUUGGUGGAAUUCCGAGUGUAGAGGUGAAAUUCGUAGAUAUUCGGAGGAACACCAGAAGCGAAGGCGGCCAACUGGCCCGAUACUGACGCUGAGGCGCGAAGCGUGGGGAGCAA
rnacentral:rRNA from 1 species